CUCUGUACAGAAAUAUUUACUUUGUAAGACAAAAAACUCAAGAUCACAGUACACAGCAGUUAUUUAUUUAAAUAUGUGAAAAGGUCAAUGAUGGAAAAAAUAGGUUUAUAAUGAGAUUAUAAUCAUUAUUUAUUUUAUCAUUUAAAAAAGUGCUGCCUUUAGGUUAUCCUAGCCAGAUAUAGAACACUUCAUGACACAUGCAGCUACUGUAAUACACUAUAAUAGACAGAGCCAUUAUAGAAUGAUUCACACUUUGGGAGGAGAUUUAACAGUAGUAAGGGUGACUGUUUAUUUAAACUAAAAACAUUGAUAAUAUACAAAUUGUUUUUCUCAUUUGAUUGAAAGGACUAUAAAAUUGAACAUACUGACAGACAAAGCAACAUAA